UACGUAGGGUGCGAGCGUUAAUCGGAAUUACUGGGCGUAAAGCGUGCGCAGGCGGUUCGUUAAGUUCGUUGUGAAAGCCCCGGGCUCAACCUGGGAACUGCAAUGGAAACUGGCGAGCUUGAGUGUGGCAGAGGGGGGUGGAAUUCCGCGUGUAGCAGUGAAAUGCGUAGAGAUGCGGAGGAACACCGAUGGCGAAGGCAGCCCCCUGGGCCAACACUGACACUGAGGCACGAAAGCGUGGGGAGCAAACAGG
rnacentral:rRNA from 1 species